rnacentral:lncRNA from 1 species
UCUAGAAUUAAGACACUGAGUGGGAAGAGAGAUACAAAUAUGUCCAUAGAAAUAUGGAAGGUUUUAAGCCAGAAAAUCCUUAAAUGAAGGUCUGUAGCAGUAUCUCUCCAGAUAUUUAAAAAUACAAUGAUCACCAAAAUAUGCUAUAAAUGUUUAAAAUGGACUCCUAUCGAAAGUUCAGAGGUUAAAGAUGAUGUUGUUUAUGGUACUCCUAGAAAUUGAUUCUUCUUUAUUUUUUCUUUUCGUUGAGUUUAAUUGCCACUAGAAUUAUUUUCAAGUUAAGAAGAUAAGAGGAUUGACUUUUUAAACUUCAAAAUGAACUUCCCUGCUGUGACUGACUAUAUUCCCCAGUAUGGAGAAUUGUGAGGAACCUGUUGAACAGAAAAGUCUCUGACCAUAAUCAAGGUCACACAGUCAGAAGGCAUCCCAGCACUGUGUUGUUUGAUGAUACUAGUGGACCUUCAUGAAUCAGAACUUUCCAUAUAUGGAGGUUAUUCAGCAUGUCCUUUGUGAGUAAUGGUUACAGGUAUAAGGUGCAUACAGGUAGAUGUGAAGAAGGCAGUGGAGGAUAACAGGAAAAUGGAAGAGAAUGAGGAAAUGUAUGGUCCUGUGGAAGAAACACUGGAAUUAAGGCGGCAUCAAUUGCGGGCAAGGCUGAAUCCAGGUUUUGGGGGCCUGAAGCUUAAUCAAUGUGGAGGACCUCUUUGAGGAAAAGCAUGCAAAAUUACAAAUACAAAAUUAGGUAUUUCCACGGGGGGCAGAGAUGAUUUUCCUGGCUCUGGGCCUCAUGGUUUCACACUACCUUUGUAAUUUCUCUUGGAGCCUUUCAUUACAGAACUAAAGUUGCCUCUGCUCAGCUGUAUUCUUCUUUGAGGUAGGAUUGGACUGGCCGUGUGACACAAUUCUGACCAAUGAGAUGUAGGUGGAAUUCUGUCAGGUACGUUGCCUCACGUGGAUAUAUAAGAUAAAGCAU